UGGGGAAUAUUGCACAAUGGAGGGAACUCUGAUGCAGCGACGCCGCGUGAACGAAGAAGGCUUUCGAGUCGUAAAGUUCUUUUAUAUGGGAAGAUAAUGACGGUACCAUAAGAAAAAGCCCCGGCUCACUACGUGCCAGCAGCCGCGGUAAUACGUAGGGGGCUAGCGUUGUCCGGAAUCACUGGGCGUAAAGGGUUCGCAGGCGGAAAUGCAAGUCAGGUGUAAAAGGCAGUAGCUUAACUACUGUAAGCAUUUGAAACUGCAUAUCUUGAGAAGAGUAGAGGUAAGUGGAAUUUUUUGUGUAGCGGUGAAAUGCGUAGAUAUUAAAAAGAAUACCGGUGGCGAAGGCGACUUACUGGGCUCAUUCUGACGCUGGGGAACGAAAGCGUGGGUAGCAAACAGG
rnacentral:rRNA from 1 species